rnacentral:rRNA from 1 species
GAUUGCAGUCUGCAACUCGACUGCAUGAAGUCGGAAUUGCUAGUAAUCGCGGAUCAGCAUGCCGCGGUGAAUACGUUCUCGGGCCUUGUACACACCGCCCGUCACACCAUGGGAGUCGGUAACACCCGAAGUCUGUAGCCUGACGCAAGAGGGCGCAGCCGAAGGUGGGAUUGAUGACUGGGUGAAGUCGUAACAAGGUAGC